AGCUUCAUGCUCCCAGCAUCCUAAACCAGAAAGCCAUGCAUGCCCCUUCCAAUUUCCAGCGCCCAUGUCCACAUCUCUUCCUCCACGUACCCACAAGUCAGCUUUUCCAAAAUAAAAUCCUUCUUUUGUUGUAAUACGGCAUAAGUCCUUCAGGCCCACUUGCUUUUGCGCAUUCACGUUUGUGCCUAUUUAAACCCAGCUCCC
rnacentral:lncRNA from 1 species